UACAGAGGGUGCAAGCGUUAAUCGGAAUUACUGGGCGUAAAGCGCGCGUAGGUGGUUCGUUAAGUUGGAUGUGAAAGCCCCGGGCUCAACCUGGGAACUGCAUUCAAAACUGUCGAGCUAGAGUAUGGUAGAGGGUGGUGGAAUUUCCUGUGUAGCGGUGAAAUGCGUAGAUAUCAGGAAGAACACCCGUGGCGAAGGCGGCUCUCUGGGACGGUACUGACGCUGAGACGCGAAAGCGUGGGGAGCGAACAGG
rnacentral:rRNA from 1 species